GACGAACGCUGGCGGCGUGCUUAACACAUGCAAGUCGAACGGAAAGGCCCUGCUUUUGUGGGGUGCUCGAGUGGCGAACGGGUGAGUAACACGUGAGUAACCUGCCCUGGACUUUGGGAUAACUUCAGGAAACUGGGGCUAAUACCGGAUAGGAGCUCCUGCUGCAUGGUGGGGGUUGGACAGUUUCGGCGGUUGGGGAUGGACUCGCGGCUUAUCAGCUUGUGGGUGGGGUAGUGGCUUACCAAGGCUUUGACGGGUAGCCGGCCUGAGAGGGUGACCGGCGACAUUGGGACUGAGAUACGGCCCAGACUCCUAUGGGAGGCAGCAGUGGGGAAUAUUGCACAAUGGGCGGAAGCCUGAUGCAGCAGCGCUGCGUGCGGGAUGACGGCCUUCGGGUUGUAAACCGCUUUCGCCUGUGACGAAGCGUGAGUGACGGUAAUGGGUAAAGAAGCACCGGCUAACUACGUG
rnacentral:rRNA from 1 species